AAAGUUGCUGUGGUUAAAGCUCAUACCCGGAUCUCGGCAGCAGAUAGGCUGUUGCGGUGAGGCAGAGGGGAGCCACUGCCCGCCCAGCCCCUGCCUCUUGGUGCCCCCUCGGUGCUCUUAGUCGACUGUCCCUGGGGCUCAAAGCAUUUACUGCAAAAAAAUAGAGUAUUCAAAGCAGACCAGAGCCACCUGGAUACCACAGCUAGAAAUAGUGGUGUAGAACUGUAGUUCUCUUGUGUUGGCUUUCAGAACUGAGACCAUGAUUAAGAAGGAUGGUGGAGGCCAUUGGUAACGCGCUGCUAAGGGGGAAAUUCUUGGACUGGCACAAGGAAAAAAAAAAGUUUCUUAUUAGAAAAGAACAGGAAGCACCUGGACGGCUCCG
rnacentral:ncRNA from 1 species